GCCGGGGUAGCUCAGUUGGUAGAGCGCAAGGCUCUUACUGACAUCCGUUCUGCGGACGUCUACAGCACACCUUGUGGUCGAGGGUUCGAGCCCCUCCUCCGGCG
rnacentral:tRNA from 1 species